ACCUCUGUGCCGCCGCUAACGCAUUAAGUAUUCCGCCUGGGGAGUACGGUCGCAAGAUUAAAACUCAAAGGAAUUGACGGGGGCCCGCACAAGUAGCGGAGCAUGUGGUUUAAUUCGAAGCAACGCGAAGAACCUUACCUAGACUUGACAUCUCCUGAAUUACCAUGUAAUGUGGGAAGUCCCUUCGGGGACAGGAAGACAGGUGGUGCAUGGUUGUCGUCAGCUCGUGUCGUGAGAUGUUGGGUUAAGUCCCGCAACGAGCGCAACCCUUAUUGUUAGUUGCUACCAUUUAGUUGAGCACUCUAGCGAGACUGCCCGGGUUAACCGGGAGGAAGGUGGGGAUGACGUCAAAUCAUCAUGCCCCUUAUGUCUAGGGCUACACACGUGCUACAAUGGCCGGUACAACGAGAUGCAAUACCGUGAGGUGGAGCAAAACUAUAAAACCGGUCUCAGUUCGGAUUGUAGGCUGAAACUCGCCUACAUGAAGCUGGAGUUACUAGUAAUCGCGAAUCAGAAUGUCGCGGUGAAUACGUUCCCGGGCCUUGUACACACCGCCCGUCACACCAUGAGAGUUGGCAAUACCCAAAGUUGGUGAUCUAACCCGUAAGGGAGGAAGCCACCUAAGGUAGGGUCAGCGAUUGGGGUGAAGUCGUAACAAGGUAGCCGUAGGAGAACCUGCGGCUG
rnacentral:rRNA from 1 species